AACUGAAGAGUUUGAUCAUGGCUCAGAUUGAACGCUGGCGGCAGGCUUAACACAUGCAAGUCGAGCGGGGGAAGGUAGCUUGCUACUGGACCUAGCGGCGGACGGGUGAGUAAUGCUUAGGAAUCUGCCUAUUAGUGGGGGACAACAUCUCGAAAGGGAUGCUAAUACCGCAUACGUCCUACGGGAGAAAGCAGGGGAUCUUCGGACCUUGCGCUAAUAGAUGAGCCUAAGUCGGAUUAGCUAGUUGGUGGGG
rnacentral:rRNA from 1 species